rnacentral:rRNA from 1 species
GAUGAACGCUGGCGGCGUGCCUAAUACAUGCCAGUCGAGCGAACGGACGAGAAGCUUGCUUCUCUGAUGUUAGCGGCGGACGGGUGAGUAACACGUGGAUAACCUACCUAUAAGACUGGGAUAACUUCGGGAAACCGUAGCUAAUACCGGAUAAUAUUUUGAACCGCAUGGUUCAAAAGUGAAAGACGGUCUUGCUGUCACUUAUAGAUGGAUCCGCGCUGCAUUAGCUAGUUGGUAAGGUAACGGCUUACCAAGGCAACGAUGCAUAGCCGACCUGAGAGGGUGAUCGGCCACACUGGAACUGAGACACGGUCCAGACUCCUACGGGAGGCAGCAGUAGGGAAUCUUCCGCAAUGGGCGAAAGCCUGACGGAGCAACGCCGCGUGAGUGAUGAAGGUCUUCGGAUCGUAAAACUCUGUUAUUAGGGAAGAACAUAUGUGUAGGUAACUGUGCACAUCUUGACGGUACCUAAUCAGAAAGCCACGGCUAACUACGUG